GAAGGGAGCAGCCCUCUUGGCUGCUGUGGGCCGGUCCGAAGCGGUAGAGCUGCUGUAGAGCAGCUCGGGCUCGCCGAGGCAGGGCUGUGGCCGCCAAUCACUAAGACGCCGGCCUGGGAAAUCUCCGAUUUGGAGCUCGACAGCCCAGCGAGCUCCAACGCCGAGGGCUCCGGUGACCCAGUAGACGCGAGAGCCGGCUCCAGAGGCCUCGGUCCCUCUUCAGGGCCCGUGGCUACUCCGGUGCGAGUCCGGCCUCGGGAAGGGGCGGGGAGAAAGGUGCAGGAGGAGCCAGGCGCUGCAAGAGCCGAGGCCCGGAGAAGGUCCGGGAACUGGAGCAGCAGAGACGGAAGGAGGCAUCCGAGGCCCUCCGGAGCUGUGCACGGGGUCAGCAGGAGGCAUUCGAACCUGAUCAGAAGGAGCACUGGGAUGGCUAGGGAACUUUGAAAUUUGGAAUAGAAAGUGGUGGCAUCCUUCCCUUUCCCAGCUGGCUUUAAUCAUUAGGGAGCUUCUUAGGUGUGGGUCAGUGCUUGGAACGUAGGCAUUUCGCUGGUAUAUGGAGCCUCCCGUGAAGAAACUGUUUCCUGUGCUUCGAAAAAGCAAAAAUGAAGUGUGAGAUUACAUCCUAUCAGGGAAACAACAUGGGCACAUGCAUACCAAAUGCAAAAUGCAGAUUAAAUACAAGAUACUUUCAGGAUACGAAGAAGGCACUAGCAAAGUGGGGAGCAGAGCCACGUUGAAAGAGGUGGUUCUUGAGCUGAACCUUGAAGGCAGCUCGGGAAUUCUGUUCCAGGCAUGGAGUAAAGGCCCACAUGUGCAGUGUCAUCUGUGAGGAAGGGCUUGGAGGCCAGUUUGACCAGACUGGAGAGAGUUCAGGAAGGGCGAUAACGUGUAUCAAGGCUGGAAUGGUGAGCUGGAGCCAGAUUGGAGUGUUUUUUAUCUUAGAAGUGAGAGGGAGUUUUUACUGGAGCUUUUGGAACAUUUUAGACCUGUGCUUCUAGGAAUAUCAUUUUGGCAGUUGUGAAUGUUAGAUUGGAAAUAAAAGUCACUAGAGGAAGGGAGACCAAUUAGGAAUAUAUUUACUAUAAUAGUCUAGCCUAGACGUGACAAAGGACUCAGGUUGGUGGCAAUGUGAGAGAGGAGAAAAAACCAAUGCAAGAGUUGUGGAAAUAGAAUAAACAAGCCUUGACAAUAGACUGAAUGGGGUGGGGCUGGGGGUGUGAGAAGAGAGGACACAUUGUGGAUGAUUCUGAGGUAGACUGAAAGAUGGGUAGCACCCUCAAUCAAAAUAGAGAAAUUUGGAAGAGGGGUGGAUUUGGAGGAAAACUAUAAAUGGGUUCUGUUGUGGACAUGUUGAAUUUGAAAUGCCUGUAAGACAUUCAGGUAGAAAUGUCCAGAGGCAGUUCUAGAGCUCAAGAGACAAAAUACAGAUCUAGGAAUCCUCUUCGUAGAGGUAAUUGAAUUUAUGGGAAAAAAGUAUAAGACAAAGCCUACAAGGGGGAAGGAAAUAGAUGAUGACCCAGCAAAGGAGAUUGAAAAGGAAUGGCCUGAGAGGAGAAAAGCAGCAUCACUAAAACUCAGGUAUAAGGAUACAUAGGAUGCUGUAGUAGUCAGUAGUGUCGGAUGCUGCAGAAAGGAUGAAGACCAAUAAAGGACAUUAGAUUUGGGAGGUAAAAUAUGUUAAGAAACAGCAGUUUCACUUGAAUGGUGAAGUCAGAAGCCCAAUUGAAAGGGGUUGAGUGAAGCAAAAAGUAUAGGCAUAUAUGCAGCCUUUUUUAGGAGUUUGGCUCUAAAAGGCAAGGAGAUGGGAUGAUAGCUUGAAGAAUUAACUGAGGUUUUUUAAAAGGAUGGGAGAGACCUGGGCAAGUUCACAGGCAGCAGUUAAGGAUCCUGGAUAGGCAGAGAUCAAAGACGGCAUAGUAAUCUGCCCAGGAAAACAGUCGUGAUGGAGGUCACUUCAUCAAUAUAGAAUCAAUGUUUUAGAACCUGUAGUAUAAGUAAAGGAGGAAAGGAUAGAGGGACUUAGAAAUGUCGAGUAGGGGAAAGGCAAGAGCUCAUGGUAACAGAAGGCUCUGUUUUGUCAGAGUCUGGGUCCAAGUCCUCUACAAAUAGGGAUGAGAGAGAGAUGGGAGAGGGAUGGUGUGGAAGGCUUGAGGAAAGAUGAGGUUUAGAACACCACCUUGGAGAAUUUGAUAGACCAUUAGGGAAGAUGAUCUGGUGUCCUUGUCAUUGUGCCCCCCUGCCAUUGUAAAGGUCAUUUGCAUCUCUGUAGCUCUAUUUUAGGUCAGUAUUCUUCUGGCUUAUACUGUGGGCUCUAAAACAUUCUAUUCAUAAAAUUCUAUACUGACUGCAAUUCUUGAACCUUCAAAUAAGAAGAAACAGGAUGCAAGAAGGGUCUGUUUUCCACAUUAAUAACCUUUAAUUAAAAGUAAAAAUUUCCACAGAAUGGUGAGAAUGUUAUGUACCAGAGCUGGGACUGGUGGCUGGGAAACCUUGUCAUAGACAGGAGUCCUUCUCCACCUUCUCCUCACUUCUUCCAUCAGGCCCCUUGUCAGCAAGGGUAGUGGGAGGAGGGUAAAUCAGAGUGACUACCCAACUGAAUUACAAGCGGCUGCUGUAUCCGCUGGAGGUUCUGGGCAACUCAAAAGUGUUUUCUCCUUGUUUCUCCCAACCCCCAGUUAUCCUAGAAGAUGCUGGCUCCGAUGUCUUAAUAGGGGCUUUGAGGUCCCUAAAAUGUGAGUAUGUCAUUGAGCCCCAGCCAUGAGUCCGAAGUCUCAGCUGGAAGAGAUCAGUGCCAGCCACCUGCCACAGCAGUGCUCUUCCUAUACCUCAGAAUCCAAGGCAGGAAAUGCACUGUCUCCUCCCUCAGCAAUAGUCCUGUUUCUACCAUGAACGUCACAGCCUUGGUGCUACUGCAACUACAGAAGAACUGUGCUGCUGGUGCCCUCAAACAGGAGCCAAGCCAGUAUUAACAAAGGCCACACAAGCAAGUGCCUCAAUGCCUGCCCAGGGUGGGUCCAGGGGAGAUCAUUGCUAUCCCUUCAGAUUAACAGUUGUAGUAGUAUACAGUAGAUCAGAACUUUGGGUAUUCUCAUUUCCAGCCCUGAUUUCAUUAGUAAAUAAACUUCUUUUCCCCA